rfam:Glossina pallidipes unplaced genomic scaffold Scaffold14, whole genome shotgun sequence.
GGAGGUAGUUUUACUACGUAGACGCCAGGGAUGGCGAAUUGUGCAUACUGCAUGUUUGGACGAGCCAGCAGUAUCUUUUAAAGAUUGCUACCUCC